rnacentral:rRNA from 1 species
UACGGAGGGUGCAAGCGUUAUCCGGAUUCACUGGGUUUAAAGGGUGCGUAGGCGGGCAGGUAAGUCAGUGGUGAAAUCUCCGAGCUUAACUCGGAAACUGCCAUUGAUACUAUUUGUCUUGAAUAUUGUGGAGGUAAGCGGAAUAUGUCAUGUAGCGGUGAAAUGCUUAGAUAUGACAUAGAACACCAAUUGCGAAGGCAGCUUACUACCCGAAUAUUGACACUGAGGCACGAAAGCGUGGGGAUCAAACAGG